UAUAUAGGAUUUAAUCUUUUUAUUUUAUUUUAUUUUAUUUGAAUCUCAAUUCCAAGAUAUAUUUUUGUUUUCUUCCUGCAAUGCAGAAACCUGGCAUUCAAUCGGCUGAGACAGAAUAUUCCAUUCUCCUUAGCUUCCUCGAAAUCUCUCCGUUAUUUAUAAGUUCUUGUAAUGAGUGAGGGUGUUAAAUUCUCUAGUUUAUGAGUAGCCAGCUCAUAUUUGCCAACCGAUCUUUUUUCCAAGUGCAGGAAUCUGAGUCACAAUUCCCUUUCUGGUUCCAUUGGGGACAUAUUUACUGGUCUGGAGAAUCUAAAACAAAUGGAUUUAUCCUACAACAGUUUCUCAGGAAAUCUGCCCAUUUCAUUUGUUACCUUGACGAGUCUUACUGCUCUUGACCUGCAGAACAACCAAUUUACUGGAUCAGUUGACUUCCAGGCUGGUCUCCCUCUAUCAUACCUGUAUGUCUUGAACUAAGUGUCUUACUUUGUAUGGAUUGUCUAUUCUUCAACACUUUUUAAGACUAAGUACACAGUUCUGAUUUUAACUGCUCUAAGUUUCAGUAAUAUUCGAAACAACUACUUCAGCGGUGUUGUUCCUAAGCAGUUUGAACUCAUUUCAAAUC